GUAGCUGGAGCUAAGGGUCCUAAAGGGAUUUGGAGUUAUGUUUAUGUAAGACAGAGUCCGGGUUGGGAGCCGGGGGUGUGGCAGUAGGCUUAAUGUGGACAGAGUUGACCGACGUACUUGACAGAAAGUACAAUGAUCCAGCUGCUGUGUGAUCCAAGGAGAUUGGCUUUCUGCUAGGAAGAGAGAGCUGCGGAACCCACGAAAUAGCAGAGGGAAGCAGGGC